UAUUCAGCAUUUCACUGUAAGGUCUACUACACCUGUUGUAUUCGGCAUUUCACUGUGAGGUCUACUACACCUGUUGUAUUCGGCAUUUCACUGUGAGGUCUACUACACCUGUUGUAUUCGGCAUUUCACUGUGAGGUCUACUACACCUGUUGUAUUCGGCAUUUCACUGUGAGGUCUACUACACCUGUUGUAUUCAGCAUUUCACUGUAAGGUCUACUACACCUGUUGUAUUCGGCAUUUCACUGUGAGGUCUACUACACCUGUUGUAUUCAGCAUUUCACUGUGAGGUCUACUACACCUGUUGUAUUCAGCAUUUCACUGUAAGGUCUACUACACCUGUUGUAUUCGGCAUUUCACUGUAAGGUCUACUACACCUGUUGUAUUCGGCAUUUCACUGUGAGGUCUACUACACCUGUUGUAUUCGGCAUUUCACUGUAAGGUCUACUACACCUGUUGUAUUCGGCAUUUCACUGUAAGGUCUACUACACCUGUUGUAUUCAGCAUUUCACUGUGAGGUCUACUACACCUGUUGUAUUCGGCAUUUCACUGUGAGGUCUACUACACCUGUUGUAUUCGGCAUUUCACUGUGAGGUCUACUACACCUGUUGUAUUCGGCAUUUCACUGUGAGGUCUACUACACCUGUUGUAUUCGGCAUUUCACUGUGAGGUCUACUACACCUGUUGUAUUCGGCAUUUCACUGUGAGGUCUACUACACCUGUUGUAUUCGGC